CCUACGGGAGGCAGCAGUGGGGAAUAUUGCGCAAUGGAGGAAACUCUGACGCAGCAACGCCGCGUGGGUGAAGAAGGUCUUCGGAUUGUAAAGCCCUGUCGGGAGGGAAGAAAAGCACAUGGUGAAUGUGUCUGACGGUACCUUCGAAGGAAGCACUGGCUAACUCCGUGCCAGCAGCCGCGGUAAUACGGAGAGUGCAAACGUUGUUCGGAAUUAUUGGGCGUAAAGGGCGCGUAGGCGGCUUGGUAAGUCAGAUGUGAAAGCCCUGGGCUCAACCCGGGAAGUGCGUUUGAAACUGCUAAGCUUGAGUGCAGGAGGGAGAGGUGGAAUUCCAGGUGUAGGAGUGAAAUCCGUAGAUAUCUGGAGGAACACCGGUGGCGAAGGCGACCUCUUGGCCUGAAACUGACGCUGAGGCGCGAAGGCGUGGGUAGCAAACAGGAUUAGAUACCCUGGUAGUCCACGCGGUAAACGAUGCUCACUGGGUGCUGGUGGCAGACGCUGUCAGUGCGUGCACGACGAUAAGUAGAGCCGCCGUCGGGAGGUACGGUCGCGAGAAGUAAACGUACGAAAGAAGUUAGACGGCGUGAGACGUGACCGACGGACGACGACGAGGGAGGAGG
rnacentral:rRNA from 1 species